rnacentral:rRNA from 1 species
UACGGAGGGAGCUAGCGUUGUUCGGAAUUACUGGGCGUAAAGCGCACGUAGGCGGCUUUGUAAGUUAGAGGUGAAAGCCCGGGGCUCAACUCCGGAACUGCCUUUAAGACUGCAUCGCUUGAAUCCAGGAGAGGUGAGUGGAAUUCCGAGUGUAGAGGUGAAAUUCGUAGAUAUUCGGAAGAACACCAGUGGCGAAGGCGGCUCACUGGCCCGUUACCGACGCUCAGGCGCGACAGCGUGGGGAGCAAACAGG